rnacentral:rRNA from 1 species
UGGCGGACGGGUGAGUAAUGUCUGGGAAACUGCCUGAUGGAGGGGGAUAACUACUGGAAACGGUAGCUAAUACCGCAUAACGUCGCAAGACCAAAGAGGGGGACCUUAGGGCCUCUUGCCAUCGGAUGUGCCCAGAUGGGAUUAGCUAGUAGGUGGGGUAAAGGCUCACCUAGGCGACGAUCCCUAGCUGGUCUGAGAGGAUGACCAGCCACACUGGAACUGAGACACGGUCCAG